AUGAACGCUAGCUACAGGCUUAACACAUGCAAGUCGAGGGGCAGCAUGGUCUUAGCUUGCUAAGGCCGAUGGCGACCGGCGCACGGGUGAGUAACACGUAUCCAACCUGCCGUCUACUCUUGGACAGCCUUCUGAAAGGAAGAUUAAUACAAGAUGGCAUCAUGAGUCCGCAUGUUCACAUGAUUAAAGGUAUUCCGGUAGACGAUGGGGAUGCGUUCCAUUAGAUAGUAGGCGGGGUAACGGCCCACCUAGUCUUCGAUGGAUAGGGGUUCUGAGAGGAAGGUCCCCCACAUUGGAACUGAGACACGGUCCAAACUCCUACGGGAGGCAGCAGUGAGGAAUAUUGGUCAAUGGGCGAGAGCCUGAACCAGCCAAGUAGCGUGAAGGAUGACUGCCCUAUGGGUUGUAAACUUCUUUUAUAAAGGAAUAAAGUCGGGUAUGGAUACCCGUUUGCAUGUACUUUAUGAAUAAGGAUCGGCUAACUCCGUGCCAGCAGCCGCGGUAAUACGGAGGAUCCGAGCGUUAUCCGGAUUUAUUGGGUUUAAAGGGAGCGUAGAUGGAUGUUUAAGUCAGUUGUGAAAGUUUGCGGCUCAACCGUAAAAUUGCAGUUGAUACUGGAUAUCUUGAGUGCAGUUGAGGCAGGCGGAAUUCGUGGUGUAGCGGUGAAAUGCUUAGAUAUCACGAAGAACUCCGAUUGCGAAGGCAGCCUGCUAAGCUGCAACUGACAUUGAGGCUCGAAAGUGUGGGUAUCAAACAGGAUUAGAUACCCUGGUAGUCCACACGGUAAACGAUGAAUACUCGCUGUUUGCGAUAUACUGCAAGCGGCCAAGCGAAAGCGUUAAGUAUUCCACCUGGGGAGUACGCCGGCAACGGUGAAACUCAAAGGAAUUGACGGGGGCCCGCACAAGCGGAGGAACAUGUGGUUUAAUUCGAUGAUACGCGAGGAACCUUACCCGGGCUUAAAUUGCAGAUGAAUUACGGUGAAAGCCGUAAGCCGCAAGGCAUCUGUGAAGGUGCUGCAUGGUUGUCGUCAGCUCGUGCCGUGAGGUGUUGGGUUAAGUCCCGCAACGAGCGCAACCCCUGUCCUUAGUUGCCAGCAUGUAGAGAUGGGAACUCUAAGGAGACUGCCGUAGAUAAUACGGAGGAAGGUGGGGAUGACGUCAAAUCAGCACGGCCCUUACGUCCGGGGCUACACACGUGUUACAAUGGUAGGUACAGAGGGUCGCUACCCCGCGAGGGGAUGCCAAUCUCGAAAGCCUAUCUCAGUUCGGAUUGGAGGCUGAAACCCGCCUCCAUGAAGUUGGAUUCGCUAGUAAUCGCGCAUCAGCCAUGGCGCGGUGAAUACGUUCCCGGGCCUUGUACACACCGCCCGUCACACCAUGAGAGUUGGGGAUACCCGAAGCCUGUGAGCCAACAGUUAAAUGAGGCAGCAGUCGAAGGUAGAAUCAAUGAUUGGGGUG
rnacentral:rRNA from 1 species